GAAAUGCGAUAAGUAAUGUGAAUUGCAGAAUUCAGUGAAUCAUCGAAUCUUUGAACGCACCUUGCGCUCCUUGGCAUUCCGAGGAGCAUGCCUGUUUGAGCGUCGUUGAAUUCUCAUAAUCCUACAAAGGCUGUGGUCUUUCUACUGUCCUUCACGUGGGGUGUGGAUUGUGGAGGAUGCAUUUCUGCCGCCACCUCAGCUCGUUGGCAUUUCUGCCCCCAAGCUGGGGAGGACGGCUUGCAUUUGCUUCUCUGAAACUCAUGGCUGUGGUCAGGAACCUGUCGCCGGUAUGAUAGACAACAUCUUACCUGCAUCCGUUCCGUGCCAGCCAAGGCCAUACAAGGCAAAUUCUCUAACGAUUUGACCUCAAAUCAGGCAGGACUACCCGCUGAACUUAA
rnacentral:misc_RNA from 1 species